rnacentral:rRNA from 3 species
ACGGGAUGCUUAGGCAUCUAGUGGCGGACGGGUGAGUAACGCGUGAGAAUCUGGCUCCAGGUCGGGGAUAACAGUUGGAAACGACUGCUAAUACCGGAUGUGCCGAGAGGUGAAAGAUUUAUUGCCUGGAGAUGAGCUCGCGUCUGAUUAGCUAGUUGGUGGUGUAAGGGACCACCAAGGCGUCGAUCAGUAGCUGGUCUGAGAGGAUGAUCAGCCACACUGGGACUGAGACACGGCCCAGACUCCUACGGGAGGCAGCAGUGGGGAAUUUUCCGCAAUGGGCGAAAGCCUGACGGAGCAAUACCGCGUGAGGGAGGAAGGCUCUUGGGUCGUAAACCUCUUUUCUCAAGGAAGAAGAAAGUGACGGUACUUGAGGAAUAAGCAUCGGCUAACUCCGUGCCAGCAGCCGCGGUAAUACGGAGGAUGCAAGCGUUAUCCGGAAUGAUUGGGCGUAAAGGGUCUGCAGGUGGAACUGAAAGUCUGCUGUUAAAGAGUUUGGCUUAACCAAAUAAAAGCGGUGGAAACUACAGAACUAGAGUGCGGUAGGGGCAAAAGGAAUUCCUGGUGUAGCGGUGAAAUGCGUAGAUAUCAGGAAGAACACCGGUGGCGAAAGCGUUUUGCUAGACCGUAACUGACACUGAGGGACGAAAGCUAGGGGAGCGAAUGGGAUUAGAUACCCCAGUAGUCCUAGCCGUAAACGAUGGAUACUAGGCGUGGC